ensembl:snRNA U6 U6 spliceosomal RNA
GUGCUCGCGUCGGCAGCACACACACUAAAACUGGAAUGAUACAGGGAAGAUUAGCAUGGCCCCUGCACAAGGAUGACUCGCAAGUUCAUGAAGCAUUUCAUAUUUUU